ACCGCCGCCCCGCACGCUCCGGUCGCGCUCGGACUUGCCGUCAUGGAUGCUCUGUCGGAGGCAAAUGGCACUUUUGCCUUAACCCUUCUGAAAAAGCUGGGUGAAGACAACUCCAAAAAUGUGUUUUUCUCACCCAUGAGCCUCUCCUCCACGCUGGCCAUGGUCUUUAUGGGGGCAGCAGGCAACACCGCAACUCAGAUGUCCCAGGCACUUUCUCUAAGCAAAAGCAGCAGCAAAGGUGGAGAUGUCCACCAGGGUUUCCAGAACCUUCUCACCGAAGUCAACAGGACUGGCACACAGUACUUGCUCAGAACCGCCAACAGGCUCUUCGGAGAGAAGUCUUACGGUUUCCUCCCAUCUUUCAAAGAUUCCUGCCGCAAAUUCUACCAAGCGGAGAUGGAAGAGCUGGACUUUGUCAACACGACAGAGGAGUCCCGGAAACACAUAAACACCUGGGUAGCCCAGAAGACAGAAGCCACAGCUCCUGCUGUAGCGCAAUGGGAUUGGCAGCAUCUUGGGAGCGCCAGGCUGCUGGUUCCAUCACCGGCCUGACACAGCAGAUUAAGGAUCUGGUGUUGCUGAAGAUACGGCUUAGGUCAUGACUGUGGCUCAGAUCUCAUCCCUGGUCCAGGAGCUCUGUAUGCCAUGGGGUGACCAAAAAAUGGGGGGGGGUAAAUUCUUAAAAUCUGCUUCUGAAAUACUGUCAAUGUAUGACUAUUUUCUCUAGCUUUUUCACGUUGUUUAUGUUAAUGCAGUCUUCUUUCCACAAACGGUGUAAAGAGCAGUUUGGGUCCAGGUCUCCAGCUGCCUGCCUCCCAGCACUGCUGGCGCUCUCUGGUCACCGGGCCUCACUGUGGACACUCGGUUAAGCCCUCAUCCACUUGCAGUUCUUGGCGUCCAUGCUUCCCGCGUUUAAUGCUGCAUCCUCUCACCUUUGGGAGACCAUCUCCUGAGGUCACGGACACUCAACCUUCUCUUCUGUGAAUUAGCCUGCACAUCUUACUUUGUUCAUCUUAUACGUUUUAUGCAACUGAUGGUAUUCUUCUGACUAGAGCGCUUUUUUUAAAAUUUUUUAUUUUUAGGGCCACAUCCGCAGCAUAUGGAAGUUCCCAGGGUAGGGGUUAAAUCAGAGCUGCAGCCGCUGGCUUAUGCCACAGCCACAGCAAUGCCAGAUCUGAGCCGUGUCUGUGACCUACACCACAGCUCAUGGCCAUGCUGGAUCCUUAACCCAAUGAGCGGGGCCAGGGAUUGAACCCACAUCUUCAUGGAUGCUAGUUAGGUUCGUUACUGCUGAGCCACAGGGGAACUCUCUGGCCAGAGCUUUUAAAAUCUGGUUGCUGCCCUUGUUUCAGGGACUAGUCUCCUUGUACAGGGUUAUGUCUGGACAUCAGAUUCCUUCACUGUGCCCUUGACUCCUGAGGGAUAUGGCCCAGUGAAUACUGUCCCCAGUGCACCCAUCAGGAAAUCCUUUCAGCCAAGUGGUCCUUUAAUUCUUCUUUUCAGGUAAAAUUACAGACUUGCUGUCUCCUGAUUCAGUCAACUCCAUGACUCGUCUAGUUCUCGUGAACGCCAUCUACUUCAAAGGAAACUGGGAUAAUCAGUUUAACAAAGAGCACACCAAGGAAAGGCCGUUUAAAGUCAGCAAGAAUGUGAAGAAACCUGUGCAAAUGAUGUUUAAGAAGUCUACCUUUAAAAUUACCUACAUAGGAGAAAUAUUCACCCAAAUUCUGCUGCUUCCCUAUGUCGGCAAAGAGCUGAACAUGAUCAUCAUGCUGCCGGAUGAAAACACCGAUCUGAAAACGGUGGAGAAGGAACUUACUUACGAGAGGUUCGUCGAGUGGACGAGGCCGGACAUGAUGGAUGCCGAGGAGGUGGAGGUCUUCCUCCCCAGGUUUAAGCUGGAGGAGGACUACGACAUGGAGGGCGUCCUCCGCACACUGGGCGUGACGGACGCCUUCGAGGCGGCCAGGGCAGACUUCUCUGGAAUGUCAUCCCAGAGAGACCUGUACCUGUCCAAGGUCGUGCACAAGUCCUUUGUGGAGGUCAACGAGGAGGGCACGGAGGCAGCGGCUGCCACCGCCGCCAUCAUGAUGAUGCGCUGCGUCAGAAUCAGCCCCAGGUUCUGUGCCGACCACCCUUUCCUUUUCUUUAUCCAGCACAGCAAAACCGGCGGGGUUCUGUUCUGUGGCCGGUUCUGCUCCCCGUAAGGAAGUGCUGGGCUCUGCUGGCAGCCCCUCUAUCUCCCACCGACCUUUUCCUUGACACUCUGAUGUGUCUGUAACCCAAAGUGACCUUUGGCGACAGUCCAAAAAUAAAGGGCCUGAUCGUGAAACCCCA